GGCUGAGUCGUUGACAUUUGCUGCUCCAGGCGACUGAACGGACAACAGAGGAGCUCCAGGACCCCAAACAGAAGUCCAUUAAGUAUUUUUUCUUCUUCUUCUGAACUUCUUCCAGGAUGCUUCCUGUGAGGAUCAGUCAGUCCCUUAACCUUCAGUUUGGGGCGUUCACUGUCCUGGUCUUCCACCCUGUCUUCCUCAGCCUGAUACACUCAUGUAGAGGUCAGCAUCAGGUGGUUGGUCCGUCUCAGCCAAUAGUAGCAAUGGUUGGUGAGGACGUCAUUUUGCCGUGUCACCUGCACCCUGUCAUGGAUGCUUUUAACAUGUUUCUGGAGUGGGGAGACCUGACCUGAGCCCUAGAUUUGUUCUCGUUUGGCGUGGCAGUGUGGAACUAAGGAGUAUAAAACAUCCGUCCUAUAAGGGAAGAACAUCUCUGUUCACUGAUCAGCUGAAGCAGGAAACAUUUCACUGAAACUCUCCAAAGUGAAACUAUCUGAUGAGGGAAGAUACAGAUUCUUCAGUCCACAACUGGGAGAGACUGCUGUUCAGCUGGUUGUAGGUGCUGUCUCCUCACCAGUUACCCACAUGAUCACAAACAGCAGUAGUGUGGUUCUACACUGUGAGUCUAAAGGCUGGUAUCCAGAGCCUGAGGUGGUCUGGCUGGACGUUGAGAAACCUCACUCUGCUGGACCUACAGAGACAGUCAGAGGUCCUGAUGACCUCUAUACUGUCAGCAGCAGAGUGACUGUGGAGAAGAGACACAGCAACAACUUCACCUGUAGAGUCCAGCAGAAGGACAUCAACCAGACCAGAGAGACACACAUCUAUGUUCCAGGCCGGUCUGGUUCCAGUUCAUCUGCUCGUAACAUUAUUCGCUUGGUUGUUGGCAUCAUGUUAGCUCUUGCAGUUGUCUUUCUUGUGAAGAAAAUCAGUA